rnacentral:rRNA from 1 species
GACGAACGCUGGCGGCAGGCUUAACACAUGCAAGUCGAACGCCCCGCAAGGGGAGUGGCAGACGGGUGAGUAACACGUGGGGAUCUGCCCAAUGGUACGGAAUAAUUCCGGGAAACUGGGACUAAUACCGUAUGUGCCCUUCGGGGGAAAGAUUUAUCGCCAUUGGAUGAACCCGCGUCGGAUUAGCUAGUUGGUGAGGUAAAGGCUCACCAAGGCAACGAUCCGUAGCUGGUCUGAGAGGAUGAUCAGCCACACGGGGACUGUGACACGGCCCAGACUCCUACGGGAGGCAGCAGUGGUGAAUAUUGGACAAUGGGCGCAAGCCUGAUCCAGCCAUGCCGCGUGAGUGAUGAAGGCCUUAGGGUUGUAAAGCUCUUUCGCCGACGAAGAUAAUGACGGUAGUCGGAGAAGAAGCCCCGGCUAACUUCGUGCCAGCAGCCGCAGUAAGAC